rnacentral:rRNA from 1 species
UACGUAGGGUGCGAGCGUUAAUCGGAAUUACUGGGCGUAAAGCGUGCGCAGGCGGUUGUGCCAGACAGAUGUGAAAUCCCCGGGCUUAACCUGGGAACUGCAUUUGUGACUGCACGGCUAGAGUGUGUCAGAGGGGGGUAGAAUUCCACGUGUAGCAGUGAAAUGCGUAGAUAUGUGGAGGAGUACCGAUGGCGAAGGCAGCCCCCUGGGAUAACACUGACGCUCAUGCACGAAAGCGUGGGGAGCAAACAGG